AUCUGUAUUAGUACUGACAAUACUUGUGAUACUAGCAUUCAUGUACCGGAGGUAAUCAUUUCCAUAAAUAUGUGCAAUCUAUUGAAUGCAUGUUUAUUAAAAUGAUCCUGAUAUUUAUGAAUAGACGCGUCAUGGGUUAAUAGAGUAAAAGCAUAUGUGAAAAUUAUCAUAAACACAAUCCAAUCCAUUUUCCUCUGAUUUGACAUAAGCUAGUACAUUUAGUAUGUCUCUUUAUCGAGGGUGACACAUCCUUGAAAUUGUUAUAGCCAUGAGUAACACGACGGGUGACACACAUGAUACAGCAUCUUCUUACCUUUCUGGGAGCCCCUAGAUUUUAAUGAGGUUCUUGAAGCCCGAACGUAAGCUGUUCGUCUAUUGUUUCGUGAACUUGUUUGUCUUUUAAUCGUCUUUAAUUUUUUUGUAACGAUGUCUGUUUAGAAUGUCUCCAUGUUUAACGUAUCAGCUGCAUUUUUUUAAUUACUUCAUGUUGUUUUUCAUCCGACAAGAACACUUUUAUUUUGCAUGGAGUUGAUAUAAUCUGUUUUUUUUGUACCACCAAUAUUUAGUAAAGCAAAAUUUAAAACAUUAUCUGAAUGAUGAUAAAUCUCAUACAUGUGGGAUCAUUUUUUUCAUGCGUUAACAGUCCAGUCUUGUUUCAUGAGUUGAUAUUGUUUAGCUAAUAAAUAAGUAUUCUUCCUGGACUACCUAUGUAUUUAUGUAUCAGAAAAUGCUUGAAUAAAACAAUAUGCUAACGAUGAAAAAAUAUUCACUCUGUAUGAAAAAAAAAAGGACAUAGUUCUCUGUUAAUUUUUAUUGUAGAACAUAUGGUAAAGAAAAUGCAUCAUUGAAUACAGCUGGUAGGGAAGAUCGUAACACAAACAACAUAGAUAAUAAUACAGUAAUUUCUGACUACCAACAGUUAGAUGAUGUUGAUGACGUACAGAAAAAAAACAAAUGCUUAUGAUCAGUUGAGCGUUACACGUAAUGUACACACUGAAUCGACUAACGACCAUGAACAUCUGGAUAAUGCUACAAAGGAUACAAGCGUGAACGUGUAUGACAAUUUAAAUGAUUCAGGCGUAAUGGACAAUGAUCCGACUCACCACAAUCCAUGUCAAUAAUUUAUAGAGAAGAACAUGUUAGUUAUAAACACAUAGGAUAUAUAACUAAACGAAUUAUAUGACAGUUGCAGUGGAAUAUAAACAGUCAGAUAAUUCACAAAAGCAUGACAGCAUGAACCUGUAUGGUCAUUUACAUUUUGAACACGCGUAUGACAUUGACUACACUCAAGAACACUCUUAAUCCUUUUUUAAAGAUAACAUUUAAUUAAUUAAUCAAUGUAGAUAAACAAACAUUUAACUUUAAUCUGUGUACCAUUUCAUCGUUAAUCUAGAAAUAUACCCAUAUUGUUAAUCCCAAUUAUAAUAAUAAUUUAAACAUAGAAUGGUAAGUUAAAUGGUUAAUGA
rnacentral:lncRNA from 1 species